UUAAACCAAAUUCCUCUAAUGAAUGAAGCUUUUUGGGUGCCGUCACCUAUGAAAAGACUUAAUUACAUUUAGCCCCCGUCCACCGUCUCCGUCGGCGGCACUUCCCCGGAGUAGGAGAGGAAAUUGUAAGCGAGACACACCGGAAUGCCCAGUAGCAUCUUCCUGUGGAGAUGAAAUUCAAUACAAUCACAUACUACUUCGCAUAAAUCUUCAAACAUUGAGAUCCGUGAGUGUUUAUAAACUGUCUAACCUCACAAAGGAUUGAGACUAGCUGUUACAAAUCAAUGAUACUGUUGCAGUCGCCCUGCAGAUAUCUCCUGCAAGUCUUGUCCACUCGGGUUCAGAAUCUUGAUAAAGGAGUUGAGUUAGACUGCCAGUGGGUUGAGUUUGAUGAUGUCCGCUACCAUAUUCAGGCAAGUGUAAAGAAUCCAAAUUUUCUCCUAUUAUCACUAUCUUUACCUGCACCACCUCCAGAGACUGUAUUUUUUGGAGGACUUCCUCAAGGAGCUAUCGAAGCUAUAAAAGCAGCAUAUGGUGUGGUCCUACAAGUUCUUGAUCCCCCAAGGGAUGGUUAUAAUCUUACAGUGAAACUGAACCUGUCCAAGCUUCCUCCAGAUGAAGACCAUAAGCAAGCAUUCCUAGUAAAGAUUGCUUCUAUAAGAGAACUAGUACAGGGUGCACCAUUGAGAGCAGUAUUUAAGCAACUAGUCACGAGGGGUGUAAAAUCUGACUUAAACAAGAUUAUUUCAAUUGUGCAUCGGCCGAACGAAUCAUAUUUUGUUUUUCCUCAGGUGGAUAAGGUGACGGUGAUUUUCCCAAUGCGAUUCAAGGAUUCCAUAGAUAUUGUUCUUGCUACUUCUUUCCUUCAGCAAACAUUCAGGAAUUUGUUGAAGCAAGGAGAACUGCUGGACUUAACAAUGCCCCUCCAUGUCUGUGGUCAUCUUCCCCCCCUAAGGAGUUGGAAGGUUCCCCAGACGAGGCAUUAUCAGCAAAUGCUGGAUUUGUCAGUUUUGUUAUUUUCCCUCGCCAUGUUGAAAGCAGAAAGCUGGAUAGAACCGUGUGGAGUUUAUCAACAUUUCAUGCUUAUGUCAGCUAUCAUGUCAAGUGUUCAGAAGGUUUCAUGCACACAAGGAUGAGGCGUCGGGUGGAGACAUUGAUAGAGGCUCUAGAUCGUGCCAAACCAGAUUCAGAAAAAGCCAACAAUAUCGACCAGACUAGAUCCUUCAAACGACUGACUGUCAAGGAUGGCAGAAGCAACUCCAAUGCAAAGUGAUAUCUGCUCACCAUGAGAGAAGGUGUAUGUUACCGAAUGGGGUUAUUGGAAAGAGCAAGGUGAUAUCCACCGGUGAUAAUUCUUCCAGUCAUGAAGCACCUGUUGUUCAUAUAUCAUAGAAGUUUGCCCUUUACAAUAAUCUUCGGGCACGGGAUGAUUAAUUUCUCACCUGGAUUGGUAAAUCGAGUUCCCCCUUCCAUGAUGGUGUCAGCUAUGACCAUGAGCAGUAAAUAUGUUUCCUCCUUGGGGUGUCCGACCAGCAGGGCGCCAAACGUUAUUUCUCUCGGGUUGCUUUCAAGCUCAAACCGUGAAAGAGUGUGUUUCUUCUUCUCUUUUCUUUAUCGUUUGUAUCUACAGAUCAAGUUAAGAUCGAUGGAUGAUUUGUUACAUUUUGGUCUAUAUAUAUUCACAUUAUUAAAAUUAGAGAAACUCUAAAUUCAUAGCAGCUUCAUCUCUU